AUUGAACGCUGGCGGCGUGCCUAACACAUGCAAGUCGAGCGGUAACAGGUGUAGCAAUACAUGCUGACGAGCGGCGAACGGGUGAGUAAUGCUUCGGAAUCUACCCAAUGGUGGGGAAUAACCAGCCGAAAGGUUGGCUAAUACCGCAUACGUCCCACGGGAGAAAGCAGGGGAUCGCAAGACCUUGCGCCAAUGGAUGAGCCGAAGUCGGAUUAGCUAGUUGGAGGGUAACGGCCUACCAAGGCGACGAUCCGUAGCUGGUCUGAGAGGACGACCAGCCACACUGGGACUGAGACACGGCCCAGGACUCCUACGGGAGCAGCAGUGGGGAAUNUUGGACAAUGGGGGAAACCCUGAUCCAGCGACGCCGCGUGUGUGAAGAAGGCCUGCGGGG
rnacentral:rRNA from 1 species